UACGGAGGAUGCAAGCGUUAUCCGGAAUUAUUGGGCGUAAAGCGUCCGCAGGUGGCACUUCAAGUCUGCUGUCAAAGACCGGGGCUUAACCCUGGAAAGGCAGUGGAAACUGAAGCGCUAGAGUGUGGCAGGGGUAGAGGGAAUUCCCGGUGUAGCGGUGAAAUGCGUAGAUAUCAAGAGGAACACCUGAGGUGAAGACGGGUUGCUGGGCUGA
rnacentral:rRNA from 1 species